rnacentral:rRNA from 1 species
GGAAACCAUGAUUUUCUUCGGAACUGUUUACAAGGUGCUGCAUGGUUGUCGUCAGCUCGUGCCGUGAGGUGUCGGAUUAAGUUCCAUAACGAGCGCAACCCUUAUCGUUAGUUGCCAGCGGGUAGAGCCGGGGACUCUAACGAAACUGCCGGUGUAAACCGUGAGGAAGGUGGGGAUGACGUCAAAUCAGCACGGCCCUUAUGUCCAGGGCUACACACGUGUUACAAUGGCCGGUACAGAGGGCAGCUACCUGGAGACAGGAUGCGAAUCUCGAAAACCGGUCUCAGUUCGGAUCGGAGUCUGCAACCCGACUCCGUGAAGCUGGAUUCGCUAGUAAUCGCGCAUCAGCCAUGGCGCGGUGAAUACGUUCCCGGGCCUUGUACACACCGCCCGUCAAGCCAUGGAAGCUGGGGGUACCUGAAGUCCGUAACCGCAAGGAGCGGCCUAGGGUAAAACUAGUGACUGGGGCUAAGUCGUAACAAGGUAGCCGUACCGGAAGG